GUCUUUCUGAGGGCGCUGCAGUGCUGCGAAGCAAAGUAGUGGGUCAGAGUUCUGAGCUGGCUUAAAAGGCACCACUGACAUGGCUAACAGAACAAACUCCUCGGAGUAUUUCUGGUCUUAUGAAUAUUACUGGGAUUACAUAGAUCCAAUUCCAGUAGAUGGAAGCAAGUUGAAGGUUAAUAAAUAAUGCACAUGACAGAAUUACUCUGCUGUGCCCACAGACUCCAUCGUCAUUGCCUUUUGGGUCGGCCUUGCUGCGUUCGUGAUGUUUCUUUUCCUUGUUUUGCUGUGUAUGUCCUGCUCCGGAUCAACGCCAGCAAACACGAUGAUGAACAGGAACACAGGGUCGGGCAGGAGCUCAUUAGGCAGUGACUGCACUCACGAUAAUUAACGGUCACAAGAGCACCCAGGGCAGAUCCUGGUGCAAGGACGGAGUACUUGCCAGCAGAAUGCAUUGGAAGAACUGUGCAAAUCCAGCAGUUUAAAGUUUGGGAAUGCUGUGGGACAUGCUUAAUAUGUCAGAAGUAUUUUUUUAAAGAAAGCCCCCAGGAAGUGGUGGAAGAAAAUAAUAAAUAAUAUUGCCUACUCAC